UACGGAGGGUGCAAGCGUUAUCCGGAAUUAUUGGGCGUAAAGGGCUCGUAGGCGGUCUGUUGCGUCGGGAGUGAAAACUCAGGGCUUAACCCUGAGCCUGCUUCCGAUACGGGCAGACUAGAGGUAUGCAGGGGAGAACGGAACUCCUGGUGUAGCGGUGGAAUGCGCAGAUAUCAGGAAGAACACCGGUGGCGAAGGCGGCUCUCUGGGCCUUACCUGACGCUGAGGAGCGAAAGCGUGGGUAGCGAACAGG
rnacentral:rRNA from 1 species